AGUAGACUAUUCCUUCUCCAUUUUCCCUUUUUUUUUUUUUUUUUUUGGUUAUGUUUAUCUCCUUAGAUCUAGAAGUUCAAGGCCCGGUUUGAUCAUCUUCCGCCCAGAUUUGUCAAAGUCGUAGAAGAGAAAAACAAAGAGCUCGAUGAGAGCUUCAACCCCAUGGUCAUGGUUUUUCAGUUAAGCUAUUUUCAUUCACUGGUCAAUUGGGAUUUUUCUCUCUAAAUGAGAAAAUUUGGAGCGUUUGGACAGAAAAUUUGGAGCGUUUUCAUUUUGAUGGUAAUUGGGAUUCUCAUUCCAAUUAAGGUCUAUACAUACUCAUUCCCUACGAGUACCACAGGAUACUCACCCCUCGUUGAACGUGAGCUGUUUCAGAUACGAAGACUUGGUUCGAGAUGCACAUCAUUCCUUGGAUGACUUGUAACUUUUAAGUUUCCAUUUCAUGCAAAUGUUAGCAUGAAAUGUCAUUUUGUAACUUUAUAUGUUAAAACUUAUAUCUUUGAUUCCAUAUAUGUAACGUGUACAUAAGUAUACCUUUUACGAUAUAUUUGACAUGUAUGAGAUGAGGCCGGAGGCCAAUGACUUUUAUUUUGUAUCCUAUGUAACUUUUGACUUCAUGAAAUAUUAUAGAAAUAUUGAAAAA